AUUGAACGCUGGCGGCAUGCCUUACACAUGCAAGUCGAACGGCAGCACGGGGCAACCUGGUGGCGAGUGGCGAACGGGUGAGUAAUGCAUCGGAACGUGCCAUUGAGUGGGGGAUAACGUAGCGAAAGUUGCGCUAAUACCGCAUAUUCUGUGAGCAGGAAAGCAGGGGACCGCAAGGCCUUGCGCUCUUUGAGCGGCCGAUGUCAGAUUAGCUAGUUGGUGAGGUAACGGCUUACCAAGGCGACGAUCUGUAGCGGGUCUGAGAGGAUGAUCCGCCACACUGGAACUGAGACACGGUCCAGACUCCUACGGGAGGCAGCAGUGGGGAAUUUUGGACAAUGGGCGCAAGCCUGAUCCAGCCAUGCCGCGUGAGUGAAGAAGGCCUUCGGGUUGUUAAAGGCGUCUUUCGGUCCCGGGAAGGAAAUACGCAUGGUAAUACCUGUGUGGAUGACGGUACCGGAAGUAAGAAG
rnacentral:rRNA from 1 species